rnacentral:rRNA from 1 species
CCUACGGGUGGCUGCAGUGGGGAAUAUUGGACAAUGGGCGCAAGCCUGAUCCAGCCACGCCGCGUGAGUGAUGAAGGCCUUCGGGUCGUAAAGCUCUGUGGGGAGGGACGAACCGCCACCGGUUAAUACCCGGUGGCAUGACGGUACCUCCUUAGCAAGCACCGGCUAACUUCGUGCCAGCAGCCGCGGUAAUACGAAGGGUGCAGACGUUGCUCGGAAGUAUAGGUAGUCAAGCGCACAUAGCCGGCUUGAAAUCCCUCGGCUCAACCAAGGAAGUGCUUUGGAAACUGCUGAGCUUGAGUACUUAAGAGGAUCGCGGAAUUCCCGGUGUAGAGGUGAAAUUCGUAGAUAUCGGGAGGAACACCAGUGGCGAAGGCGGCGAUCUGGGAAGAUACUGACGCUGAGGUGCGAAAGCGUGGGGAGCAAACAGGAUUAGAUACCCCUGUAGUC